UACGGAGGGGGCUAGCGUUGUUCGGAAUUACUGGGCGUAAAGCGCGCGUAGGCGGCUUUGUAAGUUAGAGGUGAAAGCCCGGGGCUCAACCCCGGAACUGCCUUUAAGACUGCAUCGCUUGAAUCCAGGAGAGGUGAGUGGAAUUCCAAGUGUAGAGGUGAAAUUCGUAGAUAUUCGGAAGAACACCAGUGGCGAAGGCGGCUCACUGGCCUGGUAUUGACGCUGAGGUGCGAAAGCGUGGGGAGCAAACAGG
rnacentral:rRNA from 1 species